UACGAAGGGUGCAAGCGUUAAUCGGAAUUACUGGGCGUAAAGCGUGCGUAGGCGGUUUGUUAAGUCUGUUGUGAAAGCCCUGGGCUCAACCUGGGAAUGGCAAUGGAAACUGGCGAGCUAGAGUCAGGUAGAGGGUGGUGGAAUUCCCGGUGUAGCGGUGAAAUGCGUAGAGAUCGGAAAGAACACCAACGGCGAAAGCACUCUGCUGGGCCGACACUGACACUGAGAGACGAAAGCUAGGGGAGCGAAUGGG
rnacentral:rRNA from 1 species